rnacentral:rRNA from 1 species
AUGGAGAGCCAUGAAGAGAAGCUACACAAGCUGAUCAUGCAAAGCAAGAUAAAUGACACUAACGAUCUCAUGAGGAGAAAAGUUACUGAGAUUGAGAAAAACAAGAUUGAUAGAGGCAAGACUGGGGAAGGAUUUGCUCCGACAAGAACUCCGAAUAACUUUAAUGACAUGAACUUUAGAGGUGGUCCAGGGUCAGAGAUUGGUCCUAUAUUUACUGACAAGACAAAAGGGCGAUCAUCUGCUCCUUCUCCUGCUCCUAGUAAAAUGCCUGGUGGAAUGAAAUUAAGUAAAGCACACAAGCCAAAUCAGUUCCUGGAGUCUUUGAAAGCUGAAGGAGAAGUUAUUCUGGAGGAUACUCAACUAAGGUCAAAGUCAUCAUCAUCUAUUCCACCAAGUGAUCCUAUCACAGUGACUAUUGAAGAGAAGUUGAAUGUCACAGUUAAAAGGGAUGGCGGAGUUACUAAUUUUGAUGUUCAAGGAACCCUUGCUCUCCAAGUUCUUAAUGACACUGAUGGUUAUAUCCAGUUGCAGAUUGAGAACCAAGAUGCACCUGGACUUAGCUUCAGGACGCACCCUAAUAUUGACAAACAGCUGUUCAACGGCCAGAAAAUUGUUGGGGCAAGAGAUCCAUCCAGGCCUUUCCCCAGUGGUCAAAAUGAAACACCCCUGGUGAAAUGGAGAAUCGAGGGGUUGAAUGAGUCUUCUCUGCCAUUGACAGUCAGUUGCUGGCCUUCAACAUCUGGAAAUACAACUGUUGUGAACAUUGAAUAUGAAGCUUCAGACAUGUUUGAUUUGCACAAUGUUAUCGUCUCUAUCCCUCUGCCCGCACUUAGGGAUGCUCCAAGUGUAAAACAGAUAGAUGGAGAAUGGAGGUAUGACUCAAGAAACUCUGUGUUGGAAUGGUCUGUGAUGCUUAUUGAUCAAUCCAACCGAAGUGGUUCCAUGGAGUUCUCUGUUCCCGCUGCUGAUCCAUCGACAUUUUUUCCCAUCUCCGUUGGAUUUUCUGCAUCAAAUACAUUUAGUAACGUGAAGGUUACUGCCAUCCUUCCAUUGCAGGGAGGUAGUUCAAAAUAUUCACAGCAGGUUCGACUGGUCACUGUUAACUAUCAAGUGGUCUGA